rnacentral:tRNA from 1 species
GGUCGUGGCUCAGUGGUAGUGUGCUUGCCUAGCAUGUAUGAGGCACUGGGUUCGAUUCUCAGCACCA